GCCACAUGAUGACUCUGUAGAUUCACGAGCCCUCGGGCUGUGCUGACCUACCUAUCUAUCACCCUUGUCUGAUGGCU